UAUAGGCUUGGCUGGGUUUGCUGAAUAAGUACUGGAUCCUAAUGAACAGAAUGGUAUGUGAAAAAGAUUUGUGAAGACCAUGUUUCUUCAGAGAAGGCUAUAAAAUCAGAUUUAUGUUUCUUUGUAACUUUACAUUUUCAUUUCAGAAGGAAGUUGGGAGAUCACUUUGAGUUAACUAGUGUUGUUUCUGCAAGUACGACAGUGGUUGAGCAUGUGUCCUAACAUCUGUCUUUGACAGGGAAUGGCUUUCCAAGGCCAGUUAGCUUAUUUUGCACAUCAGUCAUCCCUAGGAAAUCUGCUGGUGGUUGUGAAUUCUGUCUGUGUUCCUUUCCCAGCUGGGCUGAUUUCAAUGCAACAGUUUUUUCUCUGUGUGUUAUGGCGCCUAUUGCAGGUUUCACUGAAGGCCCGUCCCCCCUGGUGAGCUCAUUAACUUGUCAGCAUUUCAGUAAUUACAGAAUUUUGAGUGCUGGGCCCAGUACUGCACCUCUUAAUUAAUUCUCUUGAAAAACACAUGUUGGUCUCCCAUCACCAUUGCACAGGCUUAUAUAACCUUUACUGACCAUGUUGUUGCACUUACAUAGUACUGAGCAGUGUGGUGUCCUCUUCUCCAAAUGCAACCACAGUGAGGAGUCACUGCACAUUCUGAGUGGCUGUUACUGUCCCCUAUGCCCUCUGUAAAAGUCUUACUCAGAGGAUGCCAGAAUGGGGGGUCUCUGGGUUCCUCAGCUCACUGGGGACAUCAGGAACAUGCUGCCUCAGAAUCAAGCCAUCAGUACUAGUUUUCAAGACCGUAUUCAGGAUAUGAUGAUAGUCAUACUGCAUCUACUGUGUUAUUCACUGCUGCAUAAUCAAAACCUAAAGGCCGGCCUUUGUGUGAAAAUGCAAUAUGGAACAUUAAUUAGCACGAAAGUGAAAACGUGAAGAUGAGGAAUAACAAGAGCAUUUGGAAGCCACUGAAAUUAAGAGUCUCCUGAAUGACAUCUGCAGAGUACUACAUGAGAUUGCAGCAUAUUCAGUCAAGAUCACCAAAUCUCUGCUCAUUUGCUCUAAGUUCAAAUUAAGCACCGUUCUAAGAACAAAAGAAAAUGACAAAAGGAGUCUUGUGCCUCAACAUUCAACAUGAAAUUUAUGUAACAUAUUUGUAGCUCAGGAAAUAAUAAAUAUUUCAUUAAAAAUGAUAUUAAAUCAGUAUUUGUAAUUUCAAUUGUGAGACAUUUUGGCUUUAUUUGAAUGGUCUAAUAGAAGUUCAUGUAGCAAGUUCAUUGCAAUCUCUGUCUUUCAUUUUGUGGGUCAGACAGUCCAUUGCAGCUAAUGCAUCUGUGGAAUCUAUGGGAUAAAUGUUUUUUCAGGUUCCACCUGAUGUAUGCAUAUUUUGAGCUGCUCUUGUAUUUUGUGCCAAGCUGAUGUAUCACACAAAGCAUUCUUCGACUUACAGGUUUACACGGAAUGUAAAGCCACAACUGUAGUUCCCAUUUAUCCAUGGCUGUCUCCAUGUUCUUCUCCAAAGCUCUUCCCAGUUUAUAGUUCAGAAAUUUUACGACCUCUUGGUUGGGACUGAAAUGAAGGUUUUUUGAUGGAUUUUUGAAAUAGAAUGUUGGCUUCUCGCCAUUGUGGGGAGUUGUUAGGAAACCUCUGGGGAAAAUGGAGUAAACAGUGUGGCUGAAGAUAAUAACUUACAUCGAUUUCACAAGGACAACUAAAAAAAAGAGGAACAAUAUCAAAGUUCUCAUUGCCCUCUUCACGGGUUUAUGAUGUCUUUUAUAUUUACAGUCCAUCUCUUCUCUGAAGAAAAUAAUAACCAAUAAUAAAAUUUUAUCACCUAAAGUAUAUUUUUAAGACAAAACCUAUUAUAUUUAUUUAAAAAAACAAAACAAAA